rnacentral:rRNA from 1 species
CCUACGGGAGGCAGCAGUGGGGAAUAUUGCACAAUGGGGGAAACCCUGAUGCAGCGACGCCGCGUGAGUGAAGAAGUAAUUCGUUAUGUAAAGCUCUAUCAGCAGGGAAGAAAAUGACGGUACCUGAGUAAGAAGCCCCGGCUAAAUACGUGCCAGCAGCCGCGGUAAUACGUAGGGGGCAAGCGUUAUCCGGAUUUACUGGGUGUAAAGGGAGCGUAGACGGCAGUGCAAGUCUGGAGUGAAAGGCUGGGGCUCAACCCCCGGACUGCUCUGGAAACUGUACGGCUGGAGUGCAGGAGAGGUAAGUGGAAUUCGUGGUGUAGCGGUGAAAUGCGUAGAUAUUAGGAGGAACACCAGUGGCGAAGGCGGCUUACUGGACUGUAACUGACGUUGAGGCUCGAAAGCGUGGGGAGCAAACAGGAUUAGAUACCCUGGUAGUC